GACGAACGCUGGCGGCGUGCCUAAUACAUGCAAGUAGGACGCAGUCGCGAACGGGUGAGUAACGCGUAGGUAACUACCUAUUAGAGGGGGAUAACUAUGGGAAACGAUACCUAAUACCGCAUACUAGUAGAUUGACCUGCGUUGUAUUUGCUAGUAGGUAGGGUAAUGGCCUACCUAGGCAACGAUCCAUAGCCGACCUGAGAGGAUGAGCGGCCACACUGGGACUGAGAAACGGCCCAGACUCCUACGGGAGGCAGCAGUGGGGAAUAUUGGACAAUGGGGGAAAGCUGGCCGCACAAAGGCGCGGGAGUGGAGGAGGUUUUCGGAGCGUAAAGCUCUGUUGUGAAGGGAGCGGUACUUAACCAGAAAGGGACGGCUAACUACGUGCCAGCAGCCGCGGUAAUUC
rnacentral:rRNA from 1 species